CGCUGGGGUCUAGUUAGUACAGUGUUCAAAAUUUUAGGUUAGUGGCAUCAUAGAUAUCUAAUAUAUCUAUGGUGGCAUCGGUAGAAGGUAUCAAAAAUGGCCGCUAUAAUAUCUGUAUUCUAGGAUCACCUUGGUGACUUAGCCCGCUGUUUGUUAGAGAGUGGGAUUGCUUUAAGCUAAAAACAUAAAUUUACUAAAAGGGUAAAUUAUAAUGCAUUACGAAGUCAAUGUUCCUUACAAUUUUAUGCGGUUAAGCGUUCUCUUACUUUUGUUGACAACUGUAUCCUAUUGUGAAGAUGUGGAUAUAACUUCAGCAACAACCACAAAACCAAUAUUUCUUAAUUGUUCUGAUACUGGGGAUGCAUCUUCUAAUUAUAAGUGGUUUUACAAAAGCAAACUUGUGGCAUCUGCAAAUUCAAUUCAAUACCAGAUUACAAACAAAAUGUUAACUGGGCAAUACAACUGUUCGAAAAA